rnacentral:pre_miRNA from 2 species
CUGACACAUGCUGAGGUCAGCUGCUCUGACAAUGUUGCACUACUGUACCAUCCAUUCUAGCAGUGCAAUAGUAUUGUCAUAGCAUUUGGCCUCAGCUCGCUCUAG